rnacentral:rRNA from 1 species
GACGAACGCUGGCGGCGUGCUUAACACAUGCAAGUCGAGCGGUAAGGCCCUUUCGGGGGUACACGAGCGGCGAACGGGUGAGUAACACGUGGGUGACCUGCCCUCAGCUCUGGGAUAAGCCUGGGAAACUGGGUCUAAUACUGGAUAUGACUCCACGGUGCAUGUCGUGGGGUGGAAAGCCUUGUGCGGCUGAGGAUGGGCCCGCGGCCUAUCAGCUUGUUGGUGGGGUGANGGCCUACCAAGGCGACGACGGGUAGCCGGCCUGAGAGGGCGACCGGCCACACUGGGACUGAGACACGGCCCAGACUCCGUACGGGAGGCAGCAGUGGGGAAUCUUGCGCAAUGGGCGAAAGCCUGACGCAGCGACGCCGCGUGAGGGAUGGACGG